rnacentral:rRNA from 1 species
GACGGAGGGUGCUAGCGUUGUUCGGAAUUACUGGGCGUAAAGCGUGCGCAGGCGGUUCGUUGUGUCGGUGGUGAAAUCCCCGGGCUUAACCUGGGAAUGGCCAUGGAAACUGGCGAACUGGAGUGCGGCAGAGGGGGGUGGAAUUCCGCGUGUAGCAGUGAAAUGCGUAGAGAUGCGGAGGAACACCGAUGGCGAAGGCAGCCCCCUGGGCUAGCACUGACGCUCAGGCACGAAAGCGUGGGGGGCAAACAGG